rnacentral:sRNA from 16 species
GCACUGGCAAAAUCCAGUGCCGGGAUUGGCGUCCCGGAUUACUAAAAGGCGCAUUCACCGCGCAAGCGGUUUUUUU